UACGGAGGAUCCAAGCGUUAUCCGGAUUCAUUGGGUUUAAAGGGUGCGUAGGCGGGUUGAUAAGUCAGUGGUGAAAUCCUGCAGCUUAACUGCAGAACUGCCAUUGAUACUGUCAAUCUUGAGUACAUUUGAUGUGGGCGGAAUGUGUCAUGUAGCGGUGAAAUGCUUAGAUAUGACACAGAACACCGAUUGCGAAGGCAGCUCACAAAACUGUAACUGACGCUGAGGCACGAAAGCGUGGGUAGCAAACAGG
rnacentral:rRNA from 1 species